rnacentral:rRNA from 1 species
GACGAACGCUGGCGGCGUGCUUAACACAUGCAAGUCGAACGAGUGGCGGACGGGUGAGUAAUGUCUGGGAAACUGCCCGAUGGAGGGGGAUAACUACUGGAAACGGUAGCUAAUACCGCAUACCAUCGGAUGUGCCCAGAUGGGAUUAGCUAGUAGGUGGGGUAAUGCUCACCUAGGCGACGAUCCCUAGCUGGUCUGAGAGGAUGACCAGCCACACUGGAACUGAGACACGGUCCAGACUCCUACGGGAGGCAGCAGUGGGGAAUAUUGCACAAUGGGCGAAAGCCUGAUGCAGCCAUGCCGCGUGUGUGAAGAAGGCCUUCGGGUUGUAAAGCACUUUCAGCGGGGAGGCGUUACCCGCAGAAGAAGCACCGGCUAACUCCGUGCCAGCCGCCGCGGUAAUAC